UUAUCUCCUGGUAAAUAGCAAAUAGCAAGCAUCCACAAAUAUAAAGUUUUGAACGACAAAUGGAUUAGAAUUACAUCCACAAAAGAUACGAAAUUCUUUAUCAUUUGAUUGUACUUACAUCCCAAACUGUAUGUAAUCGAUUGCAGUGGUUGGUGUUGUCACCUAUCCGUCUUGUGCAAUUGUAAACACGCAACUGUGGCUCCAUGAUAUCAGUAUUAUGCACUCGCAUGACGCCUAUAGGCACCUGAACUCAGUCUAUGCUGCUUAAUUCUUGCUUUGACGAGUCUGCAGAUGUAUAUUGCUAAAGGCAUUAUGAUGGAGAGCGCAAUGAAGGUGUGUCUUAUGGGCCCUUGUGGGGCAAGUGUGAUCAUUGCACUGCCAUUGGUAACCCCCAUUGC
rnacentral:lncRNA from 1 species